rfam:Candidatus Kapabacteria sp. 59-99 SCNpilot_expt_1000_bf_scaffold_8, whole genome shotgun sequence.
GGCCAAGUCCCGUGCGGUUGUAGCGAACCCAACCCCGCCAGGUCCGGAAGGAAGCAACGGUCAGUUUGUCUACAAGGCGCCACGGUAAACUUGGCUUUU